CUACGGAAUAGCUCCGGGAAACUGGAAUUAAUACCGUAUACGCCCUACGGGGGAAAGAUUUAUCGGGGUAUGAUGAGCCCGCGUUGGAUUAGCUAGUUGGUGGGGUAAAGGCCUACCAAGGCGACGAUCCAUAGCUGGUCUGAGAGGAUGAUCAGCCACAUUGGGACUGAGACACGGCCCAAACUCCUACGGGAGGCAGCAGUGGGGAAUAUUGGACAAUGGGCGCAAGCCUGAUCCAGCCAUGCCGCGUGAGUGAUGAAGGUCUUAGGAUUGUAAAGCUCUUUCACCGAUGAAGAUAAUGACGGUAGUCGG
rnacentral:rRNA from 3 species